AAAAUUACAAAAAGCGGUAGACUUUUACUUUGUGAUCCAGCGCAUGAGGAGCUUGGAAGUCACCACCUGUCCUAGCAACAAGGAAAAACUGAACAAACUGAAAAAUCAACAACUCCUCUUGGAUCUGUCAGAGAAGCGAGGUCACAGGGCAAAUUGCUGUCCCCCAAAUUGGUGAGACAGACUGCGAAUACAGAGAACCACAGCUUAGAGCAGAAGCUCCACAGAAACCAGUGCCUAAACUGAAAUCGACAAAUUACUGGAGGCUCCCAACUCUCCCUCACACCUGACAUACAAUCAGAUCAGCAUAUUGUUUUCUCUCACUCUAAAUUCACCUCCUCUUGCUGCCACCUGGGUCCAAGCCGCCAUUCUCUUUCCUGGAAUACCGCAGUAGCCUUGUAACAGGGUCUUCCAACUUCCUUAAACUUUGUGCCUCACCUGGCGGUCUGGAUGAGCCUUUUGCAAUCUUGUAGAUUUUCAGUGGAAACUGGGUAUGGCUGUGAGCUCAGACACUUGCAGAUCUCUUAAGUAUCCUUACGUUGCAGUGAUGCUAAAAGUGGCAGAUCAUUCAGGCCAAGUAAAGACCAAGUGCUUUGAAAUGACGAUUCCACAGUUUCAGAAUUUCUACAGACAGUUCAAGGAAAUUGCUGCAGUUAUUGAAACGGUGUGAAGACGGAUUCUUUGGUUGAUAAAUUGCUAUCAUUCUAAAGUCAUGGACUUCACUUUCGGCAACAAAACUAAAUAAGGAUGGAACAUUUAUUGAAUGAAAAAUGCACUUUUGUUUUUCCAUUUUUUUAAAUAAUAAAAAUCAGACAAACAG
rnacentral:lncRNA from 1 species